AGAGUUUGAUUAUGCUCAGGAUGAACGCUAGCUACAGGCUUAACACAUGCAAGUCGAGGGGCAGCGGGAUUGAAGCUUGCUUCAAUUGCCGGCGACCGGCGCACGGGUGAGUAACGCGUAUCCAACCUUCCGUACACUCAGGGAUAGCCUUUCGAAAGAAAGAUUAAUACCUGAUGGUAUGAUGAGAUUGCAUGAUAGCAUCAUUAAAGAUUUAUCGGUGUACGAUGGGGAUGCGUUCCAUUAGGUAGUAGGCGGGGUAACGGCCCACCUAGCCGACGAUGGAUAGGGGUUCUGAGAGGAAGGUCCCCCACAUUGGAACUGAGACACGGUCCAA
rnacentral:rRNA from 1 species